CUAUAUGUCGCCGGGGAAGCUUGGCUCACUGAGGGCUCUAUGGCCUCAGACCUAAUAGUUGUCAUGUUUGCUCUGUGGUUAUUUCGAAUCGACUUGUUAUCUAGUGGUCUGAUCAUUUUGCAGUCAAAAUACUAUUCCGUUUUGAUUUAAUUAAUAAUUAGUCUCUCAAGUAAUGAUGACAGGUGACAGCAGUAGAAAAGAAACUCUUUAGGUUCUGUGUUGAGAUUUUGCUGUCGUAAUGGUCAGCAAAAUCUACGUUAAUUAAUUUAAUAAAUUUAGAAUCAAGUUUUCAUGUAAUUAGGUUUUGAUUAUUUACUCUAGUAGUAAUUAAGAUUGUAAAACGUUACCACCAUAACGAACGUGGCGGCGAUCGACCAAUAGGAAAUGAUCACGUAACUCUCAAAAAUGGCGCGUACGCGUGUACCGUCACUGUGUAUUCACUCUAGUGAGGCAUCCUGCCUCCGUCUGUCUCCGUAGUCUAUUGAUUUAGUAAUUCAGUUCUAAUCGCGUUUUUAAGAUGGAAUAAUCGUCUUCUACAAUCUACUUGUUAAGUAUAGUGAAAUAGUGAAGUGUUAAGUAGUGUUAUUAAGAAAAGGAAAGUAAUUAGUGACUUGGGCUAUUAAUUGGUUCAAUUCUUUGUUGAGCAGCUUGAGGCGUCAUGCUGCUUGUCGUGUUAGUGAUUUUGUUCGAUAAUGUUUCGUGAUGAAGUAAUUAUUGAUCUUAAAUUGUUUACUGUGGGCAUGGAGAGCAUGUCGGGCAGGGUUGGUGAGUGUUUACUAGUAUUAAAAGGCGCCUUUAAACCACACCCAAUGGUCACAAGUCCUGGGACUUGCUCGAUGUACUUCCUCUACCACAACUACCAGGGUAAAAUAGUAAAAUUAAGAGUAGUAUUGUGUAAGCGAUUAGUGAGGUUAAGCAUAGCAUACCUAUUGUAAUUGGCAGAGCCGAUGACCAAGGUUAGGUCAGCGGUUCUGUCCAUAUUUUUAUUAAUGACUCUACCCAUUUUUACGACAUCAGAAGUGGGAUCGCUCCAGCGAUCCCUUUCUGCCGGUCAAUCUGUACCAAAUCCUGACAUUGACAAUGAAAGUGCAACUUAAUUUGUAAUUUGUGAAAUCCCUGAUGAAAUUAAUUUUAUUUGAUAACUACCCUCAGUUUUUCUUGUGGUAACUAAGUUGGACUUAAAACCGUAAAAUAGUUUUGACAAUUUAAUGUUGAUGCGUCAUUGAGUUGAAUCGGCAAUGGUUGCCGUGAUGCCCGUGUCGCCAUAUCGCAUCCAAAUAAAUAAUGUAAUAACGUAAAAGACAAAGAGAAAAGAAAAGAAAAAGAAAAAAGAAAAAAGAAAAAAAAAAAAAUUGAGAAAUGUUCAUUACGUUGCAAACUUAUUACGUUACUUUUAAAAUUUAUCGUUUGCAAACGUUAUGCGUUUGCGAGUCGAGUACUUUUAGUUAAAAACCGCGACGGUUUGAGCCGAGUGUGCGAAUCUUUUACCGAUAAUUUCAAAAUAGAUAUUGCGUUUACGUGGCGUACGGCAUUUUUCCAAGUUAGAUUGCGUCUCUUACUUUUCAUUUAAUUCAGACUGUACCAAGGGUUUACUUUAAGAACUUCUCCGCCUCUUUACAUCCCCAAAAUAAAUUAUUGAUGAUGGAAGACAAUUCCUCAGAAGCUUCCAAGAGUUAUUGUGACAGGCAUUGCAACGAACUACACAUAGUGACUCCAGGUAACGAAAUACUAUCUUUGGUUAUUUGCAAUGCUCUUUUUACUGUGAAGUACAUACAAUAUUUGGUAUAGCUUCGUUAACACUUCUUGUAUGUAGUCACAAUUGUGUAGUACCUAAACUUCUUAGUCUAGUUCACUUUGACAGUGGGGUCAUCGAUAUAGAGGCCCUGCAUGUUUACAUCCAAAGUAGAAUGGCAGAGGCGGUUGUAAAAAAAAAAAACCACUAUUAGUAAGGAGACUACUUGGUUUUAAUUAAAAACAACCAAACGUCGCUUCACCUUUGUUUAGCAAUCAUUAUAGUGAAGUACACAGAGUGCUCAAGAGCGGUAUCUGGUCGUCAUUGGAGGCCUUGCAGGGUCACAGAUAACCAAUUGAGGCGACCUGCUCGCCCUGGUGAUCUUCUGGCGGCCGUACCGCCUCUGGUAUCAACGGUGUCAAACGUCUAACGCCACUACAGCCGCGCAGCCCGCUACUACUUCUGCAGUCGUUGCAGCCUGCGGCUAUUGCGACCGCUGGAGCUGGCGUGCUGCCUGUGUCGUCUACUACAUCGACCACUGCGUGGACUAUUUAUUCCCGAAAAGAACUGGAGGCGCUGCAGAGCACGCACCGCACGUCAGUAUGGCCGUGUCGCCGGGGAAGCUUGGCUCACUGAGGGCUCUAUGGCCUCAGACCUAAUAGUUGUCAUGUUUGCUCUGUGGUUAUUUCGAAUCGACUUGUUAUCUAGUGGUCUGAUCAUUUUGCAGUCAAAAUACUAUUCCGUUUUGAUUUAAUUAAUAAUUAGUCUCUCAAGUAAUGAUGACAGGUGACAGCAGUAGAAAAGAAACUCUUUAGGUUCUGUGUUGAGAUUUUGCUG